CAUGUAGGUGGAUACUUAAGUCUGUUGUGAAAAUGCGGGCUCAACCCCGUAUUGCGAUGGAAACUGGGUGUCUUGAGUGCAGGAGAGGAAAGGGGAAUUCCCAGUGUAGCGGUGAAAUGCGUAGAUAUUGGGAGGAACACCAGUGGCGAAGGCGCCUUUCUGGACUGUGUCUGACACUGAGAUGCGAAAGCUAGGGGAGCGAACG
rnacentral:rRNA from 1 species